CUUGUGUAGAAAUUAAAGGUGAAAAUUGAGACAGUAUUACCUGUUUAAAGAAGCCCAGUACUGAAAAGAAUGACAAUACCUUCUGUAUUUUAAAGAGGAUGCAGCCUAUAUUUUAUGUUAAGAUAAUAGAAACUCAGAACAAAUUUUCAUUGUCUUUGUGAAAGAAGAUCGUCAAGGUCUAUGGGAAAAAUACACAAGAGAAGGAAAACACCAGGAAAGAUGUAGAAGGAAAGUUAGAAGGAAGACAUCAAGAGAGGUACAGAAGGGAUAUGAGGAGAAUUUGUAUUGUCCUCGGAAUGCUUUGGAAGUAAUCUGGCAAAAUAAAAAUCAAGGGCUAAAGAUCAAAUCAGAACUUGACACCUGCUGGCCAAAUGCUCUGGUCUGAGUGAGCCUCAGCCUGAUAACUUUACUCAGUAAAAGGUGUGGAAAUUAUACGUAUGGAGGCAGACAUGGCUUAUUCCCUCCUACCCUGUCUUUAGUCAUUUAGUAGGCUGGCCUCUAGAUUCAUCCAUGUAUUUACAAGAAUAUGAUUAUAAAGAAGAUUGUGAUAUAUGUAACUGGACUGAGAACCACCUGUAAAACUUUAUUCUGUACUGUCAUCUGAAUAAGAGACCAGUAGAUAAAUCAUCCAUCCAGUAGUUCACUACCUUCUCUUCAGGGUGAAGUUGUAAAACCACAACCACAUCAGGAAAUGAAAGAAAUCUACAGUCAAGAUACUCUGAAAUUGUUAAAGGAAUUUGGAGUUUUGGAGAGACUGAAAUUUUGGAAAGAUAAUGGAUAAAUUACAGAGACAAUGAUAUUUUAGAGACUUGGAAUAUUUUAAGGAGGCUUGACCUUGGAAAGUCACUGAAUAUUGUAAAAAGACUAAACUUUUAAACAGAUUGAAAUUUUACAUCCUGGGUUAAGUUCUUGUCCUAAAUUCACUCUGUGAUGGAUGGAGAUCUGGAUUUGAA